rnacentral:rRNA from 1 species
AUUGAACGCUGGCGGCAGGCCUAACACAUGCAAGUCGAGCGGAUGAAGGGAGCUUGCUCCUGGAUUCAGCGGCGGACGGGUGAGUAAUGCCUAGGAAUCUGCCUGGUAGUAGGGGAUAACGUCCGGAAACGGGCGCUAAUACCGCAUACGUCCUGCGGGAGAAAGUGGGGGAUCUUCGGACCUCACGCUAUCAGAUGAGCCUAGGUCGGAUUAGCUAGUUGGUGGGGUAAAGGCCUACCAAGGCGACGAUCCGUAACUGGUCUGCGAGGAUGAUCAGUCACACUGGAACUGAGACACGGUCCAGACUCCUACGGGAGGCAGCAGUGGGGAAUAUUAGACAAUGGGCGAAAGCCUGAUCCAGCCAUGCCGCGUGUGUGAAGAAGGUCUUCGGAUUGUAAAGCACUUUAAGUUGGGAGGAAGGGCAGUAAGUUAAGACCUUGCUGUUUUGACGGUACCAACAGAAUAAGCACCGGCUAACUUCGUG